rnacentral:snoRNA from 1 species
AUUGCAACUGAUUGGCUUUCUGCUUAUCUCGAUGCUAAUUCAUCGGUUCCUGAUGAGACUAUGUAUG